CCAAGGAGUCUAACACGUGCGCGAGUCGUAGGGUUUCCCUCGAAGACCGGAGGCGCAAUGAAAAUGAACCGUAGGCGGGAUCCCCGUAAACUCCCAUUGGAGCCGGGGCGCACCACUGGCCUGUCUCGUUCGAUCGGCACGGUCUACCCUCCGGUGGCCGCGUCAGCGGAGGCGGAGCGAGAGCGUACACGUUAGGACCCGAAAGACGGUGAACUAUUCCCGGACAGGACGAAGCCGGAGGAAACUCCGGUGGAGGUCCGCAGCGAUUCUGACGUGCAAAUCGAUCGUCGGAUCC
rnacentral:rRNA from 1 species